GAGACCAGAGUCUGUAGAAAUCCACCAGAAGACUGAGAAGCUGCCUGGUUCUUGUCUGCAGCCGUCAUGAAGCUUUACGGAGCUCUGAUCCUGAUCUUGAUGGUGUCCUCAGUGUGUGGAUUACAAUGCUACUACUGUAUAGGCUCCAGCCAUGCAUCCUGCACGAAUACUAUGUAUUGUAUAGGAACAUUAAACCAGUGUGCGUCCAUCAAAGCAGGCGGUAGGUUGAUCAUCUGCAGCAGACGUGAUUAAAACUGAUCAUGAGAUGAGUUGAUAAAUGUCUCUGAACUGAUUCUUGAUUUCAAUGUUACUGGAGCUGAGGUUUUUCCAUCAUGUCUUGUAGGUCUCGUCAGUAAAGGCUGUGUGACGGCAUGUGAAUCUUCUAUGAGUUGUUGUAACACGGACUUGUGCAACAGCGCAACACCAGCUGGUUCCAGCGUCCUCUUCCUCCUGGUGUCCUCGUCCAUCGUCACAGUCUUCCUCUGAAGGACACGAAGAAGAUUUGAUCUUUUCUCGAUGAUUAAACCUGUAAAAUCUGUCAAAGAAAACAGAUCUUUCAAUAAAAGCAGGAUGAUCAAUCA